rfam:Nitrospirillum amazonense Y2 contig00122, whole genome shotgun sequence.
UCGUAACGCACUUCUUGGGCGUUUCCUCCCUAAACUCAAGGCCGCGCCGAUAGGCGCGGCCUUCUUUAUUUCCGGG